rnacentral:hammerhead_ribozyme from 1 species
AUUCAACCGAUGAGUCCCGAAUAGGACGAAACGCGCGUUCUAGAU